rnacentral:rRNA from 1 species
UGGGUAUAAUCCCCGAUAGAUCUCGGUCGCUGGAAAGCCCCGAGAUCGAAAGCUCCGGCGCCAGAGGAUGGGUCUGCGGCCUAUCAGGUAGUAGUGGGUGUAGCGUACCUACUAGCCUACGACGGGUACGGGUUGUGAGAGCAAGAGCCCGGAGAUGGAUUCUGAGACACGAAUCCAGGCCCUACGGGGUGCAGCAGGCGCGAAAACUUUACAAUGCCGGCAACGGCGAUAAGGGGACCUCGAGUGCCAGGUUACAAAUCUGGCUGUCGUGAUGCCUAAAAAGCAUUGCAUAGCAAGGGCCGGGCAAGACCGGUGCCAGCCGCCGCGGUAACACCGGCGGCUCGAGUGGUAACCGUUAUUAUUGGGUCUAAAGGGUCUGUAGCCGGCCGGAUAAGUCUCUUGAGAAAUCCGGCAGCUCAACUGUUGGGCUUUCAGGAGAUACUGUCUGGCUCGAGGCCGGGAGAGGUGAGAGGUACUUCAGGGGUAGGGGUGAAAUCUUGUAAUCCUUGAAGGACCACCAGUGGCGAAGCGUCUCACCAGAACGGACCUGACGGCAAGGGACGAAGCUAGGGCACGAACCGGAUUAGAUACCCGGGUAGUCCUAGCCGUAAACGAUACUCGCUAGGUGUCGGCCACGGUGCGACCGUUGUCGGUGCCGUAGGGAAGCCGUGAAGCGAGCCACCUGGGAAGUACGGCCGCAAGGCUGAAACUUAAAGGAAUUGGCGGGGG